UACGUAGGGUGCAAGCGUUAAUCGGAAUUACUGGGCGUAAAGCGUGCGCAGGCGGUUUUGUAAGUCUGUCGUGAAAGCCCCGGGCUCAACCUGGGAAUUGCGAUGGAGACUGCAAGGCUUGAAUCUGGCAGAGGGGGGUAGAAUUCCACGUGUAGCAGUGAAAUGCGUAGAGAUGUGGAGGAACACCGAUGGCGAAGGCAGCCCCCUGGGUCAGGAUUGACGCUCAUGCACGAAAGCGUGGGGAGCAAACAGG
rnacentral:rRNA from 1 species